rnacentral:misc_RNA from 1 species
CACCUGCACUGACUGCACUUGUGGUCACUAAACUUAUAAAAACUUAACAUAUAGUGUGAGGUUGCAGGGGAGUCGCUAAUAAUGCAAUUGUACUAAAUAAUGUGUUUUCUGUUGUGAUACUUGUGGGUAUGGGGUGAAAUACUCUAUGUUUCCUUGCAUAGAGUGUUUAAUGGCCACAUCUAUGNNNNNNUGGCUUAAUUAAUGAAUUACUAAUAGUACAAACCUUCUACUAGUUAUCCGGAAAAGAUAAC